UACGAAGGGGGCUAGCGUUGCUCGGAAUCACUGGGCGUAAAGCGCACGUAGGCGGAUUGUUAAGUCAGGGGUGAAAUCCUGGAGCUCAACUCCAGAACUGCCUUUGAUACUGGCGAUCUCGAGUCCGGGAGAGGUGAGUGGAACUGCGAGUGUAGAGGUGAAAUUCGUAGAUAUUCGGAAGAACACCAGUGGCGAAGGCGGCUCACUGGCCCGUUACCGACGCUCAGGCGCGACAGCGUGGGGAGCAAACAGG
rnacentral:rRNA from 1 species